GGANUGGACAAAGUCUGACGCAGCAACGCCGCGUGGGGGAUGAAGCUUCUCGGAGUGUAAACCCCUUUCGACCCGGACGAAUGCCCGCAAGGGUUUGACGGUACGGGUAUAAGAAGCCCCGGCUAACUACGUGCCAGCAGCCGCGGUAAAACGUAGGGGGCCAGCGUUGCUCGGAAUUACUGGGCGUAAAGGGUCCGUAGGCGGUGUGGCAAGUCGGAAGUGAAAUCUCUGGGCUUAACCCAGAGGCUGCUCCCGAAACUGCUGUGCUAGAGUGCGAGAGAGGCGAGUGGAAUUGCGGGUGUAGCGGUGAAAUGCGUAGAUAUCCGCAGGAACAUCCGAGGCGAAAGCGGCUCGCUGGAUCGCAACUGACGCUGAGGGACGAAAGCUAGGGGAGCAAACAGGAUUAGAUACCCUGGUAGUCCUAGCCCUAAACCAUCAGGACUUGGGGUUUGCCCUGUACGGGGCAAGUCCCGUAGCUAACGCGUUAAGUCCUGCGCCUGGGGAGUACGGUCGCAAGGCUGAAACUCAAAAAAAUUGACGGA
rnacentral:rRNA from 1 species